AAAUUGAAGAGUUUGAUCAUGGCUCAGAUUGAACGCUGGCGGCAGGCCUAACACAUGCAAGUCGAACGGUAACAGGAAGCAGCUUGCUGCUUUGCUGACGAGUGGCGGACGGGUGAGUAAUGUCUGGGAAACUGCCUGAUGGAGGGGGAUAACUACUGGAAACGGUGGCUAAUACCGCAUAACGUCGCAAGACCAAAGAGGGGGACCUUCGGGCCUCUUGCCAUCAGAUGUGCCCAGAUGGGAUUAGCUUGUUGGUGAGGUAACGGCUCACCAAGGCGACGAUCCCUAGCUGGUCUGAGAGGAUGACCAGCCACACUGGAACUGAGACACGGUCCAGACUCCUACGGGAGGCAGCAGUGGGGAAUAUUGCACAAUGGGCGCAAGCCUGAUGCAGCCAUGCCGCGUGUAUGAAGAAGGCCUUCGGGUUGUAAAGUACUUUCAGCGGGGAGGAAGGUGUUGUGGUUAAUAACCGCAGCAAUUGACGUUACCCGCAGAAGAAGCACCGGCUAACUCCGUGCCAGCAGCCGCGGUAAUACGGAGGGUGCAAGCGUUAAUCGGAAUUACUGGGCGUAAAGCGCACGCAGGCGGUCUGUCAAGUCGGAUGUGAAAUCCCCGGGCUCAACCUGGGAACUGCAUUCGAAACUGGCAGGCUUGAGUCUUGUAGAGGGGGGUAGAAUUCCAGGUGUAGCGGUGAAAUGCGUAGAGAUCUGGAGGAAUACCGGUGGCGAAGGCGGCCCCCUGGACAAAGACUGACGCUCAGGUGCGAAAGCGUGGGGAGCAAACAGGAUUAGAUACCCUGGUAGUCCACGCCGUAAACGAUGUCUACUUGGAGGUUGUGCCCUUGAGGCGUGGCUUCCGGAGCUAACGCGUUAAGUAGACCGCCUGGGGAGUACGGCCGCAAGGUUAAAACUCAAAUGAAUUGACGGGGGCCCGCACAAGCGGUGGAGCAUGUGGUUUAAUUCGAUGCAACGCGAAGAACCUUACCUGGUCUUGACAUCCACAGAACUUUCCAGAGAUGGAUUGGUGCCUUCGGGAACUGUGAGACAGGUGCUGCAUGGCUGUCG
rnacentral:rRNA from 1 species